UUCCGGUUGAUCCUGCCGGACCUUACUGCUAUCGGGGUGGGACUAAGACAUGCGAGUCGAGCGUCUCUAGCUAUGUUGAGACGCGGCAGACGGCUCAGUAACACGUGGCUAACCUACCCUCAGGACGAGGAUAAACCCGGGAAACUGGGGCUAAUACUCGAUAGGUGAGAAUGUCUGGAAUGAUUUCUCAUUCAAAGGGCUUUAGAAACAUGCUUCUAAAGUCGCCUGGGGAUGGGGCCGCGUCCGAUCAGGUUGUUGGUGAGGUAACGGCUCACCAAGCCUAUAACCGGUACGGGCCGUGAGAGCGGUAGCCCGGAGAUGGGUACUGAGACAAGGACCCAGGCCCUACGGGGCGCAGCAGUCGCGAAAACUCCGCAAUGCACGAAAGUGCGACGGGGCUACCCCGAGUGCCAUCCGCUGAGGAUGGCUUUUCUUUGGUGUAACUAGCCGGGGGAAUAAGGAGAGGGCAAGACUGGUGUCAGCCGCCGCGGUAAUACCAGCUCUCCGAGUGGUAGGGAUGAUUAUUGGGCUUAAAGCGUCCGUAGCCGGCUUAGCAAGUCUCCUGUUAAAUUCAGCGACCUAAUCGUUGAGCCGCGGGAGAUACUACUAGGCUAGGAGGCGGGAGAGGUCGACGGUACUUCUGGGGUAGGGGUGAAAUCCUAUAAUCCCGGGAGGACCACCAGUGGCGAAGGCUGUUGACUAGAACGCGCUCGACGGUGAGGGACGAAAGCUGGGGGAGCGAACCGGAUUAGAUACCCGGGUAGUCCCAGCCGUAAACGAUGCGGGCUAGGUGUUGGGGUGGCUACGUGCCACUUCAGUGCCGCAGGAAGCCAUUAAGCCCGCCGCCUGGGGGAGUACGGCCGCAAGGCUGAAACUUAAAGGGAUGGCGGGGGGAGCACCCACAAGGCGUGAAGCUGCGUCAUGCAUCACGCCGU
rnacentral:rRNA from 1 species